UUCCAUUCCUCCGCUGAGGUCGCUGUGGUAACGGAGGUCCAAAGAUCUCAGACUGGAGACGCUGGCCUUUUGACCUUUCCACUUUGACCCCCCAGCCUUUUCCGACUCAUGUGCCCGCAGCCCCUGAACGUAAACCGCUAAAGGUAGCAUCCAUUAGUUUUGUACCCUGAAGGAUCCCCGUCCCUAAGACACCGCAGGCUGUCCUCCUCUGGGAGCCUCUGUGUGCUGACGCAGAAUGCCCGCUAGGGGGCUGUACACCACUGCGUGAUAAGGAGCAGCUCUGCCCCACCAGCAGACUCCAAGCCGGCCUUGGAGGAUGUCAGCAAAUGGAGCCGGUCACAGAAACCCACAACUGGACACAAUGCAGACAUCAACAGGUCAGGGGGAGUCCAGCCCCAGUGCACAUGUGUACACAGCACCUUCGUUUAUGGUUAAGGAAAAACAAACGCAGAGCGAGCAGAGAGCAGAGAGAUCUGAGGAGCCAGAGGACCAAGACACCUGCUGUGAACAGCCUCUCCAGAAAUGGCUGCAGAAGGAGGAAAAGGCCAGAACAAUGCCAGUAUCUGUGGACACGCUCACAUGGAAUCGGGAAAGGUCUCUGUCCUUCCUCUAGACAAAGAAGGAAAGCAGCUAACAAGUGUGGGGAGGAGAGGUAGCCUCUCCCAGGAAUGUUUGUCAUCCUUGGCACACACAGACACAUAGCUGCUUACACACACAGACAACAGGAACAGACUCAGCACGUGUGUUUAUAUGUGUCUGCAUGCACAUACACAUGUAUGUGUGUAACAGUAAUAAAGAAAAAGGUCCACCGAUUGAAGGGGGGUGGGGAGGAUGGGAGGGGUACAGGUAAGGGGGAAGCAAUGAGAUUUUGUUUCAAUUGAAAACAUUAGAACUGUAAAGCUGUGUAAGCUCAGUAAUAACUCGAGGGGAGGAGUGCUGGAGGGGACGUGGAUAGCAGCAGGGACCCUGCAGACGCUGCCAACAGGACAGAUCACAGCCUGGGGUAGAUGACAGGCAGCUAUGGAAAAAACGUGCUGAGAUCUGGGCUGGGAACCCUAUGUGUGGUCAGAGCACCGCAGUGUUUUAAACAGGCAGAAUUUCAGACUUGUACACAAGAAUACAAGUCAAGGAAAGUCAAAUUUCUGUUUAACACAUGGAUAAACUUAGACUUCAUUAAUCA